rnacentral:rRNA from 1 species
UACGUAGGGUGCGAGCGUUGUCCGGAAUUACUGGGCGUAAAGCGCGCGCAGGCGGUUGUGCAAGACCGAUGUGAAAUCCCCGGGCUCAACCUGGGAAUGGCAUUGGUGACUGCACGGCUAGAGUGUGUCAGAGGGGGGUAGAAUUCCACGUGUAGCAGUGAAAUGCGUAGAGAUGUGGAGGAAUACCGAUGGCGAAGGCAGCCCCCUGGGAUAACACUGACGCUCAUGCACGAAAGCGUGGGGAGCAAACAAG